rnacentral:lncRNA from 1 species
AAAUGCUGGUUACCCUGGCACCAGGAUAGUGCUGUAUUAGCUAUUUGGAAGAAAUCUCCCAGUGAUAUCAAUGGGAGUAUCGAUGCAACAAGGACUUCAGGAGACUGGGAUUUUGAACAAUCCAUAAGAAAUGUUGUGAAAAUAACCCAUUGCUUAGCUGCAAGCCAACAGAGCAAGGGAAAUGCUGUGAAGUCAUUCUGA